AGUGAACGCUGGCGGUAGGCCUAACACAUGCAAGUCGAACGGCAACACAGUAAGAGCUUGCUCUUACGGGUGGCGAGUGACGGACGGGUGAGGAAUACAUCGGAAUCUACUUUUUCGUGGGGGAUAACGUGGGGAAACUUACGCUAAUACCUCAUACGACCUACGGGUGAAAGCAAGGGAUCUUCGGACCUUGCGCGAUUGAAUGAGCCGAUGUCGGAUUAGCUAGUUGGCGGGGUAAAGGCCCACCAAGGCGACGAUCCGUAGCUGGUCUGAGAGGAUGAUCAGCCACACUGGAACUGAGACACGGUCCAGACUCCUACGGGAGGCAGCAGUGGGGAAUAUUGGACAAAGGGCGAAAGCCUGAUCCAGCCAUACCGCGUGGGUGAAGAAGGCCUUCGGGUUGUAAAGCCCUUUUGUUGGGAAAGAAAAGAAGCAGGUUAAUACCCCGCUGUUCUGACGGUACCCAAAGAAUAAGCAACGGCUAACUUCGUG
rnacentral:rRNA from 1 species